ACCUCGAGGCAGCUCGUCCGCCUGUGAGGCAGGAUUUCCGAGGAGCCCACUAGGUGGUGCGUGAGCUGCGGCGAUGGUGACGGGCUGCGCUGGACCAGUCACCGCCCGCCUCCCAGGACCCCCCUCAGGCCAGAGGCUCCCAGCUCACAAGCCGGCCCUGAAUCAUCCCCGUUCCUGGGCCCGUCUCCACGUUCUUCCUCUGGGAAAGCAGGGCCCAGGCUUCUGCUCCCUCUUCAAUACAGCACACAUGAACACUUUGGGAGUGUCGCCUUAAAAAUAAAAAACACAACGUGAGAGUUGAGAGUUAAGUUUUACUUGGGACAGAAUGAGGACUAGAACCUGGGUGGCAGCAUUCAGAGAGACCCGAGAAACUACUCCAAAAAACUGGGACCUCAGUGAGUCCGGACACCAGGCCAAGUGUGGAAAAGAAAGGAAGAAGGAAGAGAGGAGGCAUCCGUUGAUGAACUUCAGAUGCCAAGAUAAAGGAGACUUGCUUUUCGACGAGAUGACACUGGCCCUGCUGGUCGGGCUCCCGGGGAGAGGAGGUCUGAACUGCUCGGCUGCUGUCUACUGGCUGAUAAUGGGAUGAAAACAACACACAUCAAACAGUGAGCGGGGCUGUUAACAAGGUAGCCCUUCCUGGGAUCCUGGCGCCUUCAUCCAGUCAGGCCGGUGCCUUGAGCACCCACCCAAAAGUGGUGAGGGGAGUUCCUUGGGACCCUUCAAGUCCUAGCGUGUGGGUGAGAGCCCCCGGCUCCGGGAACGGCAAGCGGCAGGUAAGUCUUCCUGGAAGGCGCCGUCCCCCUUUCCGGGCUGGCUCUGCAGCCUUUCCCUCGGAGUCGCAGUCUAGGAAGCAGGCUCCUCGCUAAGUAUUUGGCAUUUGAUCCUCAGAACGGUCAUCUUGCCGGAACUCGGCCUCUGUUCGCUGGUGCUCAAUAGAAACGCGGAGACGGAGCUUUGGAUGAAGUAGAGAAGGCAGGCCUGAUUGCUUUGCCAGGAAGGGGGGGCCACAGCGGGCCAGAGCCCUCGGAACUUUUGGGGGGGCGGUGAGGAGUCUCACAGUGUCAAGGAGCAGAGCGUGGCCAGCUCGUGGGCGUUCUUCUGAUGGGUGGGUGGUGAGGUCACGGGGAGUCCGCGCCGUCACCCCUCUGGUUCCAGUUGGUCUGGGGUCUCCGUGCUUGUGGGCAGCACACGGUUGGCUUCCUCCCCGUGGUGGGGGUGAACCGCUCCGAGGACAUGGCUCAGAAUAGUAUCUCUGGUCUUUGAGAAAGAAUGUAAGGUCCUUGACUUUGUUGAGUGGCUAAAGUAUUAUUUUGUCUUGCUGGACUGCUUUUCCUUUCGCUUUGCAUUUUCUCACGUCUCUGAUUAAGUUUGAUUUUUUGGACUAAAGUUUUUCUACAGACCAAAGGCAGGCAGAGGACCUGGGGGCGGGGGCGGGAUCUGUUCUGGGAAGGCCCCAUAGCGUCCGGCUCGGUUACCCUAAAGAGAGGUAUUUUUUCCCCAUUUGACAGUUGGGAGAAGGGAACCCCAACAGCAAAAAAGUCUCAGGAGGACUCAGGCCUCCUGAAACAGCAUGGCCCCUGCUGCCCCUGUGGCUUUUCUGAAGAUGCAGCCCAGUUGAGUCUGAUUUGCUGAUUAUUGCAGACCUCUGGGCAUGAAGCUCUGAAAUCGAGAAGCAGGUGUGGCUGGUGAUGAACAGGUAAACCGCACAGUCAGCUCAGCUCAUGGAGAGUCCAGUGUCUGUUGUUGUUGCUGUCAUCCUCCGGGGAAGCCAGUUUUUAGUGCUCAAAGUUUAGUAAAACAAUUUCCUACACUCGUUUAAUCAUUUCCACUUUACAAACAAACUGAGGUUUCAGCAUACCAGGGGACUUGUCCUGGCUGAUUCUGCAGGUUACGGGGAGCCAGGACUUCUGACCCAAGUCUGGAGGGAUGCUUCUCUGGCUUGGAGGAUCAAUGAAAAAUCAAAUCUGAGUUGUUCCACUGAGGUGAUGGAGUGUGCGAUUACUACAGCCUCUUAGAUAUUUAAAAUCGUAUGUUGCAAAAGACCAGUCCUACCCAUUUGCUGGGUGAGCGGGUGUUGGUACCACAAGCCAUCCUCAUACUUAAGCACAGUGGAUUGGAACGUACGGCAAAUAAACAGCGUUUUUUCCUGGCUCAGUGAGGGUAACGGCUGCUUUUGAAGAAUUAUUGCAGGUGUUUCUAGGCGAUGAAUAAAGUUACUGAGGUCGUGCAGGUGGAGCAUCUAGGCAUGGAAUUUAGAAAUUUCAAGAACUCGAAAAUUUUCCUUCCACCCCCUCCAGCUUGCACAGUGAACGUGAUUAAGCGCUUCACGGGGUGGGACCCUGCGGAGGCCAGCGAGGUGGGCGACUCGGCUCCCCUCCCAGACCCCAUGUGGUCGGGAAACUGCACUGAAGGGCUCUGGCCACACUGCAGAGGGUCUCACGGUGUCCAGCGGGCCAGCUCCCAGGGGACCUAACGGAAAGAAGAAUGGACGGAUGAAAAUCCGAAAGUCCCCAGGCCGUCCUCUCCCCACAGCCCAUCUGGAGGCACCCCAGAGGCCGACUGACUCUUUGCCUCUAAAUAUUUCAUCUGUGUGGCAACGGGACAGACUCAGAUGAGAAAACUGGAGUCAGUGUCACAGGGCCAACUUGGGCAGCCCUUUGGCGAGGCCACCUGCUUGAGCAGCCGGACGAUGGUAGUUAGGGAGGUCAGACGCCUCAUCUAAGCCCUCGCUUGGCCGCUUAUGGUCUGCCCUCCGUUGUGUUGCUUUAUCAACCUGGACCUCAGUUUGCUCAUCUUUAAAAUGGGGAUACAGGAGUCCCUGGUGGCUUAGUGGUGCAUGGCUUGACUUUUGUCACUGCUGUGGCUCUGGUUGCAUCCCUGGCUGUGGAGUUUCUGCAUGCCACAGGCCCAGCCACAUACAUUUAAAAAAUAAAUAAAAUUGGGAUAUGAACAGCCCGUAGCUCAAAGGAACUGAAAAUCAAAUAGCGAGCCAAGUGUGGCAGAAUUCCACUUUCCUUGUCCACAUGAUGCAUAGAUAAUAGUUGUCUUACUUUCUAUCAUAGGAUGAUGCUGAGGGGCCAGGAAAAAAAAAAAAAA
rnacentral:lncRNA from 1 species